AAGGGGUAGGGGGAAUUUCUAGUGUAGUAGUAAAAUGCUCUGAUAUUAGAAGGAACGCCAGAGGCGAAGGCGCUCUACUGGAACAUUACUGACACUAUAAGGCGAAAGCUAGGGGAGCGAAAGGGAUUAGGUACCCCUGUAGUCCUAGCCGUAAACGAUGAAUACUCAGAUUCGGAAAAGCGUAUCUUUUUCGGAUUUCAAGCUAACGCAUUAAGUAUUCCGCCUGGGGAGUACGCUCGCAAGUGUGAAACUCAAAGGAAUUGACGGGGGCCCGCACAAGUGGUG
rnacentral:rRNA from 1 species